GGAAUCGUGUCGGUGCGGUGUUUUGCGAUUGCACAAAUUUCCGUCUACAACGAAAAACGCCGAGCUCUACCGCCUUAGGAUAUAAUCGCAAUCAGCAGGAAAAACUACGAGCCCUGUGAAGUGUACGACACUGCCUGCUCUACAAAAAUUAUGUACAGUAGCCUGCUUCAAGAUGGGACUGCACUGCAUUUGCCAAGACUGAAUUAUGCCAUGCAGUUUCUUUAUGAGAAAUAAAUCAAAUAGCACCAUAUUUAAAAGAUAAAGUGAAAAUGGCAGA